GACACAUUGUGCUCAAUUAUAACCUCGUGGACACUGGGAUCAGGAACAAGGAAAGACUUGUUGUAGGGAGGUGUGAACUGGUAUGUCUCCUGGAUACCGUCUCCAAAAUCCCACAGGAACAUAGCAUCCACAGCUGAAUCAACCUGAACUCUUGCUGUAAACUCCACGGUGCUGUUCUGAGGGAGGACCGGCGGGAUGCCCAACACAGUCAG
rnacentral:lncRNA from 1 species